rnacentral:rRNA from 1 species
GACGAACGCUGGCGGCGCGCCUAACACAUGCAAGUCGAACGAGAGAGAGGGAGCUUGCUUCUUCAAUCGAGUGGCGAACGGGUGAGUAACGCGUGAGGAACCUGCCUCAAAGAGGGGGACAACAGUUGGAAACGACUGCUAAUACCGCAUAAGCCCACGGCUCGGCAUCGAGCAGAGGGAAAAGGAGCAAUCCGCUUUGAGAUGGCCUCGCGUCCGAUUAGCUAGUUGGUGAGGUAAUGGCCCACCAAGGCAACGAUCGGUAGCCGGACUGAGAGGUUGAACGGCCACAUUGGGACUGAGACACGGCCCAGACUCCUACGGGAGGCAGCAGUGGGGAAUAUUGCACAAUGGGGGAAACCCUGAUGCAGCGACGCCGCGUGGAGGAAGAAGGUCUUCGGAUUGUAAACUCCUGUUGUUGAGGAAGAUAAUGACGGUAC